rnacentral:lncRNA from 1 species
GUUCCAUUUUUUUUUAAAGAAAGCAUUGCUUUGGCUGUUGCAUGAGAAAAGACCAUGGGGCAAGGGUGGAAGCACGGAGAUGCCUGCAGUACCCUGGCGAGAUAGGAGAGUAGCUUGGAUACAAAGUGGCCUUUCCACCUGCCAGCACGUCCUCUCCUGCCUUUCUCUGUUUCUCAAUCUCCUUCCUGGACUGAAGAAGUACAUUCCUUCCUAAUGCGUGCUGGUGAAGCUGUCCAGGAUACCAUGUGAGUACCUGGAUUUAGCACCAAAUGAAACCAGGAUUUGAAUCCUAGUUGUUUUCUAGCAACAAUCUUUGCCACAUUACUGCUCUGACCUUCAGGUUUUCUGUUUGUAAAAUGGGUA